rnacentral:rRNA from 1 species
CUACGUGCCAGCAGCCGCGGUAAUACGGAAGGUCCAGGCGUUAUCCGGAUUUAUUGGGUUUAAAGGGUGCGUAGGCCGUUUGAUAAGCGUGCUGUGAAAUAUAGUGGCUCAACCUCUAUCGUGCAGCGCGAACUGUUGAACUUGAGUGCGUAGUAGGUAGGCGGAAUUCGUGGUGUAGCGGUGAAAUGCUUAGAUAUCACGAAGAACUCCGAUUGCGAAGGCAGCUUACCGUAACGUUACUGACGCUUAAGCACGAAGGUGCGGGUAUCGAACAGGAUUAGAUACCCUGGUAGUCCACACCGUAAACGAUGUACACUAGGUGUUGGGGUACGAACCUCAGUGCCGAAGCAAACGUGAUAAGUGUACCGCCUGGGGAGUAUGCCCGCAAGGGUGAAACUCAAAGGAAUUGACGGGGGCCCGCACAAGCGGUGGAGCAUGUGGUUUAAUUCGAUGGUACGCGAGGAACCUUACCUGGGUUUGACA